AUCGGAAUUACCUGCAGAUCUUAAUAAAAUACAGGUUCUGAUUUAGGCUUGGGGUGGGGCCUGAGAUUCCGCAAUUCUAAUAAGUCCCUGGGUGAUGCUGAU
rnacentral:pre_miRNA from 1 species